rnacentral:rRNA from 1 species
CAGUGGCGAACGGGUGAGUAAUGUAUCGCUAACGUGCCCCGGACUCUGGGAUAGCCGGCCGAAAGGCCGGGUAAUACCAGAUGACAUGACCUUGUCGCAUGGCAGGGUCCUCAAAGGUCCGCCGGUCUGGGAGCGGGCGAUAUCGUAUCAGCUUGUUGGUAGGGUAACGGCCUACCAAGGCGACGACGCGUAGCCGGACUGAGAGGUUGGCCGGCCACAUUGGGACUGAGACACUGCCCAGACUCCUACGGGGGGCUGCAGUAACGAAUCUUCCGCAAUGCACGAAAGUGUGACGGAGCGACGCCGCGUGCAGGACGAAGCCCUUCGGGGUGUAAACUGCUGUCAGGGGAAAGAAAGUUCUGAUCUACCCCAGAGGAAGAGGCGGCUAACUCUGUGCCAGCAGCCGCGGUAAUACAGAGGCCUCGAGCGUUAGGCGGAAUCACUGGGCUUAAAGCGUGUGUAGGCGGACUUCUAAGUACCUUGUGAAAUCCCACGGCUCACCCGUGGAACGGCUCGGUAUACUGGUCGUCUUGAGCCACCUAGGGGCGAGCGGAACAAAUGGUGGAGCGGUGAAAUGCGUAGAUAUCAUUUGGAACGCCAAUGGUGAAAACAGCUCGCUGGGGGUGUGC